GGGGGUUUAGCUCAGUGGUAGAGCACUUGCCUAGCAAGCGCAAGGCCCUGGGUUCAGUCCCCAGCUCCG
rfam:Rattus norvegicus chromosome 10, whole genome shotgun sequence.